GGUCCCAUCGUCUAGCGGUUAGGACGCUGGCCUCUCACGCCGGAAACCGGGGUUCAAUCCCCCGUGGGACUACCA
rnacentral:tRNA from 1 species